rnacentral:rRNA from 1 species
UACGAAGGGGGCUAGCGUUGCUCGGAAUCACUGGGCGUAAAGGUUGCGUAGGCGGGUUUUUAAGUCCGUGGUGAAAUCCUGGAGCUCAACUCCAGAACUGCCUUUGAUACUGGCGAUCUUGAGUCCGGGAGAGGUGAGUGGAACUGCGAGUGUAGAGGUGAAAUUCGUAGAUAUUCGCAAGAACACCAGUGGCGAAGGCGGCUCACUGGCCCGGUACUGACGCUGAGGUGCGAAAGCGUGGGGAGCAAACAGG